rnacentral:miRNA from 10 species
UGGCAGAAGAGAGAGAGCAAGAAGGAGGGAGCUCUGGACACUUAUCAAACUACCAGAUCUCGUGAGAACUCGCUCACUGUCAUGAGAACAGCAAGGGGGAAAUCUGCCCCUAUGAUCCAGUCACCUCCCACCAGGUCCUUCCCUUGA